rnacentral:rRNA from 1 species
AGAGUUUGAUCCUGGCUCAGGAUGAACGCUGGCGGCGUGCUUAACACAUGCAAGUCGAACGAACCUUCGGGUUAGUGGCGGACGGGUGAGUAACGCGUGAGAAUCUGCCCUCAGGAGGGGGAUAACGGUUGGAAACGACCGCUAAUACCCCAUAUGCCGAGAGGUGAAAUGAAUUUCGCCUGAGGAUGAGCUCGCGUCUGAUUAGUUAGUUGGUGGGGUAAUGGCCUACCAAGACAUCGAUCAGUAGCUGGUCUGAGAGGAUGAUCAGCCACACUGGGACUGAGACACGGCCCAGACUCCUACGGGAGGCAGCAGUGGGGAAUUUUCCGCAAUGGGCGAAAGCCUGACGGAGCAACGCCGCGUGAGGGAUGAAGGCCUCUGGGCUGUAAACCUCUUUUAUCAAGGAAGAAGAUCUGACUGUACUUGAUGAAUAAGCCACGGCUAAUUCCGUGCCAGCAGCCGCGGUAAUACGGGAGUGGCAAGCGUUAUCCGGAAUUAUUGGGCGUAAAGCGUCCGCAGGCGGUCUGUCAAGUCUGCUGUUAAAGCGUGGAGCUUAACUCCAUUUCGGCAGUGGAAACUGACAGACUAGAGUGUGGUAGGGGCAGAGGGAAUUCCCGGUGUAGCGGUGAAAUGCGUAGAUAUCGGGAAGAGCACCAGUGGCGAAGGCGCUCUGCUGGGCCAUAACUGACGCUCAUGGACGAAAGCCAGGGGAGCGAAAGGGAUUAGAUACCCCUGUAGUCCUGGCCGUAAACGAUGAACACUAGGUGUCGGGGGAAUCGACCCCCUCGGUGUCGUAGCCAACGCGUUAAGUGUUCCGCCUGGGGAGUACGCACGCAAGUGUGAAACUCAAAGGAAUUGACGGGGGCCCGCACAAGCGGUGGAGUAUGUGGUUUAAUUCGAUGCAACGCGAAGAACCUUACCAGGGUUUGACAUCCUGCGAAUCUCUUGGAAACGAGAGAGUGCCUUCGGGAACGCAGUGACAGGUGGUGCAUGGCUGUCGUUAGCUCGUGUCGUGAGAUGUUGGGUUAAGUCCCGCAACGAGCGCAACCCACGUCGUUAGUUGCCAGCAUUUAGUUGGGCACUCUAGCGAGACCGCCGGUGAUAAACCGGAGGAAGGUGUGGAUGACGUCAAGUCAUCAUGCCCCUUACAUCCUGGGCUACACACGUACUACAAUGCUACGGACAAAGGGCAGCAAACUCGCGAGAGCUAGCAAAUCCCAUAAACCGUGGCUCAGUUCAGAUCGUAGGCUGCAACUCGCCUACGUGAAGGAGGAAUCGCUAGUAAUCGCAGGUCAGCAUACUGCGGUGAAUACGUUCCCGGGCCUUGUACACACCGCCCGUCACACCAUGGAAGUUGGCCACGCCCGAAGCCGUUACUCCAACCCUUGUGGAGGAGGACGUCGAAGGUGGGGCUGAUGACUGGGGUGAAGUCGUAACAAGGUAACC